UUUUAUUUGAGAGUUUGAUCCUGGCUCAGGAUGAACGCUGGCGGCGUGCCUAACACAUGCCAGUUGAGCGAUUUACUUCGGUAAAGAGCGGCGGACGGGUGAGUAACGCGUGGGUAACCUACCCUGUACACCCGGAUAACAUACCGAAAGGUAUGCUAAUACGGGAUAAUAUAUUUGAGAGGCAUCUC
rnacentral:rRNA from 1 species